ACUCCUACGGGAGGCAGCAGUAGGGAAUCUUCCACAAUGGGCGCAAGCCUGAUGGAGCAACACCGCGUGAGUGAAGAAGGGUUUCGGCUCGUAAAGCUCUGUUGUUAAAGAAGAACACGUAUGAGAGUAACUGUUCAUACGUUGACGGUAUUUAACCAGAAAGUCACGGCUAACUACGUGCCAGCAGCCGCGGUAAUACGUAGGUGGCAAGCGUUAUCCGGAUUUAUUGGGCGUAAAGAGAGUGCAGGCGGUUUUCUAAGUCUGAUGUGAAAGCCUUCGGCUUAACCGGAGAAGUGCAUCGGAAACUGGAUAACUUGAGUGCAGAAGAGGGUAGUGGAACUCCAUGUGUAGCGGUGGAAUGCGUAGAUAUAUGGAAGAACACCAGUGGCGAAGGCGGCUACCUGGUCUGCAACUGACGCUGAGACUCGAAAGCAUGGGUAGCGAACAGGAUUAGAUACCCCUGGUAGCGACUGA
rnacentral:rRNA from 1 species